rnacentral:rRNA from 1 species
GAUGAACGCUGGCGGCGUGCCUAAUACAUGCAAGUCGAGCGAAUGGAUUAAGAGCUUGCUCUUAUGAAGUUAGCGGCGGACGGGUGAGUAACACGUGGGUAACCUGCCCAUAAGACUGGGAUAACUCCGGGAAACCGGGGCUAAUACCGGAUAACAUUUUGAACCGCAUGGUUCGAAAUUGAAAGGCGGCUUCGGCUGUCACUUAUGGAUGGACCCGCGUCGCAUUAGCUAGUUGGUGGGGUAACGGCUCACCAAGGCAACGAUGCGUAGCCGGCCUGAGAGGGUGAUCCGCCACACUGGGACUGAGACACGGCCCAGACUCCUACGGGAGGCAGCAGUAGGGAAUCUUCCGCAAUGGACGAAAGUCUGACGGAGCAACGCCGCGUGAGUGAUGAAGGCUUUCGGGUCGUAAAACUCUGUUGUUAAGGAAGAACAAGUGCUAGUUGAAUAAGCUGGCACCUUGACGGUACCUAACCAGAAAGCCACGGCUAACUACGUGCCAGCCGCCGCGGUAA